UGGAUAACUGUGGUAAUUCUAGAGCUAAUACAUGCACCAAAGCUCCAAUCUUCCCAGAGCGGAGCGCAUUUGUUCGCCACAAAACCAAGCGCCUUCGGGCGUCCAGUGUUGACUCAGAACAACUAAGCUGAUCGCACGGUCUUGUACCGGCGACGUGUCUUUCAAGUGUCUGCCUUAUCAACUUUCGAUGGUAGUGUACCUGACUACCAUGGUGAUGACGGGUAACGGAGGAUAAGGGUUCGACUCCGGAGAAGGGGCCUGAGAAAUGGCCACUACGUCUAAGGAUGGCAGCAGGCGCGCAAAUUACCCACUCUCAACAUGAGGAGGUAGUGACGAGAAAUAACGAGACCGAUCUCUUAUGAGGCCGGUCAUCGGAAUGGGUACAAUUUAAACCCUUUAACGAGUAUCUAUGAGAGGGCAAGUCUGGUGCCAGCAGCCGCGGUAAUUCCAGCUCUCAAAAUGCAUAGAAUUAUUGCUGCGGUUAAAAAGCUCGUAGUUGGAUCUGUGCUAGCCGGCCGGUCCACCCACUGGGUGUGCACUGGUUCGGUUGGCUUUUCUGCCGGUCUCUCCCCGGCGUUGGCCUUCACUGGUCGGCGUCGGUGGGCUGGCGAGUUUACUUUGAACAAAUCAGAGUGCUUCAAACAGGCGUUUCGCUUGAAUGUUCGUGCAUGGAAUAAUAGAAGAGGAUUUCGGUCCGAUUUUAUUGGUUUUGCUGACCGAGAUAAUGGUUAA
rnacentral:rRNA from 1 species